rnacentral:lncRNA from 1 species
GGCGACCCAGGGAGACCCAGGGUCCCCUGCUCCCUGGGGAUUCUGGGAAAUGUGGUUUACACGCUCAGCUUGCGUGUUUCUGACCAACUAAGGUAUUCGUCGAUGAGCUGGGAGCCGAAGAAGUCAGUAUUGCCAGUGCUUGGAGUAGCUUCAUCCAUUAAUAUUGAAAAAGGGCCUUGUGAGUGCCUCCUGUCGCCCUCCACCCCCCGCCCGGAGGCCUUGUCCAGCGCUUGGCCCCAGGUCUAGCCCUUCCGCGUGAUGGACAUUGCACCUGAGGAGUCUCGUCGCAAAUAAGCCCUCUUACAUGAUCUUAUUUCAAAUGUGUCAUCUGCUUGCUGUCAAGACCUUGACGGGAACACACGCACAAGCGGGCUCAGCUGAACACAGAGAUAAGCCUCGAGUGUUGUUUGGAGAAAUAUGCUCUGCGGCUUCGAGAAGAUUGAGGACACGCUGCAGAGUCUCGUGGUGCCUCCGCUGGUGCAACCUGCGUCUACCCAUUUACUAGAUCACAGGCAUGGACGGUCAUCCACUGUGGCCCAGGCUGUCUCAGGCUCUCGGGACAGGGCGAGCAAGACGCCACACUCCACUGGAGCAGACAGACACCAACCAGGCAGAGAAAGAACCCAGCACAGAGCUGAGGGCCCCCUUCUGUCUCUCUCUCCCUGGGAUCAUCCUGCCCCUCUCCCCAAGGGUGAGAGCUUGCUCAGGCCAGGGACCCGCUGCCUUGACUGAGGUAGGGACUCCUUGACUCCCACCACGAAGGGUCUGGGCCCAAAGGUCAAGCCAGGUCUGCCAGUCAAGCUCUCCCUAGAGUAAAGUUGACAUUUUGAUACCCUUCUGUUUGAUUCUGUGUCUACAUUU